rnacentral:rRNA from 1 species
UCGCUAUUAGAUGAGCCUACGUUAGAUUAGCUAGUUGGUAAGGUAAUGGCUUACCAAGGCUGUGAUCUAUAGCUGGUCUGAGAGGACGAUCAGCCACACUGGAACUGAGAUACGGUCCAGACUCCUACGGGAGGCAGCAGUGGGGAAUAUUGGACAAUGGGCGAAAGCCUGAUCCAGCUAUGCCGCGUGAGUGAAGAAGGCCUUCGGGUUGUAAAACUCUUUCAAUAGGGAAGA